rnacentral:lncRNA from 1 species
AAGUGAAGAGGGUAGUAUCCUUACUUGUCUGUCUUCCUUGGUGGAACCAGGGUCCCAUUCUGUCAUCCAGGCUGGAGUACAGUGGCAUAGUCCUGGCUCACUGCAGCCUUGACAUCCUGGCCUCAAGCGGUCCUCCCACCUCAGCCUCACAAGUAGCUGGAACUACAGAUGAACACCUCCACACCUGGCUGACAUUUUACUUUUUGUAGAGAUGGGAGGUCUCACGAUGUUUCCCAAGCUGGUCUUGAAUCCCUCUUGAGAGAUUGUCCCGCCUCAGCCUCCUAAAGUGCUGGGAUUACAGGUGUAAGCCACCAUGCCCAGUGCCAAAUUAAUUUCUUAUACACAUUUAUAUACUAAGAAAAAAAUUUUGUGAUGGGUCUAAUGUACUUUAACUGUUUUAAAUCUGAUCUUAGAUGGAAUGUUGCUUAGCUAAUUUUCUGGAUGUUAACAUUUCAAAGACAUGGUAAAUUCUACAUCUACAAGGCACUGAGAAAGUCUUGCAGGCAGUUUGGGCAUUUAAGGGGCUUUUCUGGGGAAAUAAAGGAGAGCUCUCUUAAAAGGAUAGGUAAAAAGGGAGGAAUAAAUUUGGUAACAAAUAAACAAUUGGAUUGGUAGAAAGCUCAUGUUUAGGCUGGAG